GAUUAAGCCAUGCAUGUCUAAGUACAUGCCGUAUUAAGGCGAAACCGCGAAUGUCUCAUUAAAUCAGUUAUGAUUCCUUGGAUCGUUCCUUACUACUUGGAUAACUGUGGCAAUUCUAGAGCUAAUACAUGCAGCAGAGCUCCGACCCUCUGGGGACGAGCGCUUUUAUUAGACCAAAAUCAAUCGGACCUCGUGUCCGUAUUAUGUGGUGACUCUGUAUAACUUUGGGCUGAUCGCACGGGCUCGUCCCAGCGACGUAUCUUCUAAGUGUCUGCCUUAUCAACUGUCGAUGGUAGGUUACGCGCCUACCAUGGUCGUGACGGGGAAUAAGGGUUCGAUUCCGGAGAGGGAGCCUGAGAAACGGCCCUACACGCAGAUUAGUCGC
rnacentral:ncRNA from 1 species